rnacentral:rRNA from 1 species
UACGAAGGGGGCUAGCGUUGCUCGGAAUCACUGGGCGUAAAGGGUGCGUAGGCGGGUCUUUAAGUCAGGGGUGAAAUCCUGGAGCUCAACUCCAGAACUGCCUUUGAUACUGAAGAUCUUGAGUUCGGGAGAGGUGAGUGCAACUGCGAGUGUAGAGGUGAAAUUCGUAGAUAUUCGCAAGAACACCAGUGGCGAAGGCGGCUCACUGGCCCGAUACUGACGCUGAGGCACGAAAGCGUGGGGAGCAAACAGG